CCAAAAACAAAAAUUCAUGGCUAAUUAUCCACCUGAUGUAAAGGACCCAAUCCAAAUUUAUGCCACUCUGGCAGAAGAAGAGGGUAUUUAACUGUGAGCAAUGCUGAAUGUGAAUGAAGUGUUAGGCUUAUGAAAAUUAGUGAGAAUUUAGGAGACUAAAGCUGUUUGAAGAUUUUAAAGGUGCCUUGAUAAACAAUGUAAAAGGAAAUAAAUUCAUAUUUAGUACAUUAUGCCUUCUAAGAUCUACAAAUUUCUAAGUUGAGGUUAACUGUAUGCCAUGCUUUUGCUAAACAGAUGAUCAUAUCAAACAGCCAAGACACACCUGUUGGUGUUUCAACAAGGAUGCUUCAGAAAUGCUGUAUGAACAAAACCAGGAGGAUAAAUUUUCACAGGUGCAGCUGCCCAGGUGCUGACAGUGGGGCUACUGUGUGGCCGUUGAAUGAAGCGAUGCCAGGGCUGCCCCAUGCCGACCCCAAGGGCCCCACUGCAGGACACAGCCGGGCCCCUCACCCAAGAUGGCAGCGCCUCAGGAAAGCCAGAGGAAGGGAGGGCAAACACCGCACAGCAGGGGGCGGUGAGGGGAGCGGUGUGAGGAACGGCCCUGCACAGAUGGCAAAGAGAGGAGAGGGAGCAGCAAGAGUUGUCCUGGCUGUCAAGAUUUCCCUGAAGCUUGUGCAGAGACCAUGUUGGAGCAGGUAUUCAUGUUGCAGCCAUGAAGAACCCCACACUGGAGCAGAUGUAUGUAUCAUGAAUGCAGCUGCAGUCCAUGGGAAGGACUCAUGUGGGAGCAAGGGAGAAAGUGUGAAGAGGGAGGUGCUGUUAUGGACUGACCACAACCCCUAUUGUCCAUGCCCCUACAUCUCUCAGAGGAGGUAG
rnacentral:lncRNA from 1 species